rnacentral:lncRNA from 1 species
CGCGCUCGGGGCGGCACGGGAGCGCGGCCGGGGCUCGGGGCGUUCGCGGCGCGGCGCUGAGCAGAGAGACAGGCGGCGGCCGGGAAACGUGGAAAACCAGCUUGCCCACAACCAUCUCCUGUGUUCAGGAGCCCUGCCCGGAAACGCCCACCCUUGGAUCGGUGUGUCCACGACCCCUAUCCUGCUGGAUUGCACACAUUAAGGGUUAAAAGCAGGUGGCGCUCGCGCUGGACGUUUAAAAAUAAAGCCAGAUUUAUUGCCUGCUGUGAUGGUGACUUCACACCAAGACAAGAAUCCAGAAGAGUUCCGCCAACUGACCGGAACCGCCAUUGGGUCAGCUUUGCUGCUGUGAUCUAGUCAUAAUUUCUUGGAUAAUUCAAGCCUCGUUGAACCUGGUGAAGUAAAUUGCAAGAUAAAAUCUGUCGAGUUCCAGCUGUGUCCUGGCCUUUGGUUCAGCUUGAACCUCGUGGAAAGUCCUCCUCCGUUAGUUAUUGGGAAGACGGGUUAUCCGACCGGAGAGAGGAAAAGGGGGAUGAAUGAAUGAUCCAGUACGGUGAUAAAGAACAUAAGCUCUGGAACCAAGUGCCUGGAGUUUGGUUCUUGAACAUGUCACUUGCCAGCUGGAUGGCUUUGGACAAGCCAUUGAACUCUUUGAGCUCAGUUUCAUCUAUGAAUUGAAGGCUGAUGUGUUCCUCUCCCCACUCCACUCAAACAUCAAAUUAGUAACCUCCACAACUCAAGAUGUGGCUACAUUUGGAUAUAGCAUCUUUAAAGAAGCAAUUAAAACGAAGUCAUUAAAAAAACAAAACAAAACAAAAAACGAGGUCAUUAGAGUGGGCCCUAAUCCAGUAUGAAUGUCAUCUUUACAAGAAGGAAGUGGACACAGUCACAGAGAGAGAGAGAGAGGCAGAGACAUAGGCAGAGGGAGAAGCAGGCUCCAUGUACCAGGAGCCCGACGUGGGAUUCGAUCCCGGGUCUCCAGGAUUGCACCCUGGGCCAAAGGCAGGUGCUAAACCGCUGCGCCACCCAGGGAUCCCAAUCCUUUUUGAUUUUCAAUAUUGGAGUCUUCUGCAGAUAAUGACUGUUUGGUUUUUUCAUUUCCAAUAUACAGUGUGUGUGUGUGUGUGUGUGUGUGUGUGUGUGUGUGUGUGUGUCUGUGUCAGUGUCGGUGUUUUGUCUUUAACAGCAUUGGUCAAGAUAGGAUAGAGUGUAAUGGUGGAAAGGAAGUGUAAAAAUAUUAUUACUCAGUUCUGAAUUAUAGUUUCUGAGUUCUUCUUUGACCUAUGAAUUAUUUGGAGUUUAUUUUUACAAAAUAGUAACUGUAUAGACUUUUUUGCUUAUUUUUCAUUACUGAUUUCUAUUUUUAUGAUAGUGAGUUCAGGAAUUGGUCAUUAUUGGUUUUUUGUAUUUAUUAAAUCUUGCAUUAUAGCUUAGUGUAUGAUCAAUAUUCAUAAAUGUUCAAUCUGUCCUUGGAAAGAUGGUGUAUUCUCCAACUUUGUGAAUUUGUCAAUCUCUUCUUAUAAUUCUGUCAAUUUUGGGUUUAUAUGUUUGAGAUUAUGUAGUUAGGUUAAAAAGAGGUUCAGAAAUGUACCUUUGUGAGAAAAAUGUUCCUUUUAUUAUAGCCUCUUAUCUCUCUCUCUCUUUUUUUUUAAAAGACUUAUUUAUUCAGAGAGAGAGAGAGAGAGGCAGAGAGAGAAGCGGACUCCAUGCAGGGAGCCCAACGUGGGACUCGAUCCCUGGUCUACCAGGAUCACUGCAGACGGCGCUAAACCGCUGCACCACCAGGGCUGCCCUAGCCUCUUAUCUCUAAUGAUACUUUCUGCCUUUUAGUUUUUCCUGAUACUAAAAUAACUACACCAGCUUUCUUUUGGGUAAUAUUUGCCUAAUAAACCGUUUUCCCUCCCUCUGGUCUCAAUCUUUCAGGUGCUUCAGUUUGGGUGUGUUUCUCAUAAAUAUCAUUAAGGUACAUUUUUCUUAUUUCCACCUCAUCUGUGAUCUCUGCCUUCCAGUGGUAACUACUCUGUGUGCAGUUAAGGUAACUAUGGAUAUGUAUGUGUUCAUUUGUGUGACCUACUUUGUACUUUGUACUUAUUUUUUUUUUUAUUUAUUUGAUUUAAAAGCUCUUUUUAAAAAAUAUUUAUUUGAGAGAGAGAGUGAGAGAGAGAACAUGAGUGGUGUUGGGGAGGGACAGAAGCAUAGGGAGAAGCAGACUCCCCACCAAGCAGAAAGCCUGAUUCGAGGCUUGAUCCUAGGACCCAAAGAUCAUGACUUGAGCCCAAGGAAGACGGUUAAUUGACUGAAUCACCCGGGAAACUCCCCCCCCCCCCAAAUUCUUAUCUUUGGUUGGAUUGAUUGAGUUUUCAUUAUAUCCCUUCCUCCACUUCCACCUUAUCUUAAAGGUUUGAGGUUUUAUUCUCCCUCCAUAUUUAACAUUCAUUUUGACUUAUCUGAAAUUAAUUACUAUCUCUCAUUUAGUCUUGAAUAAUAUCAAAACCUUAAAAUGCUUUAAUCCAAACAUCCCUAUCUUUUUUUAAAAGAUUUUAUUUAUUUAUUUAUUCAUGAGAGGCACAGAGAGAGAAGCAGAGACAUAGGCAGAGGGAGAAGCAGACUCCCUGCAGAGAGUGCAAUGUGGGACUCCAUUCCUGGACUCUGGGAUCACGACCUGAGCCUAAGGCAGAUGCUUCACCGACUGAGCCACCCAGGCGCCCUGUGCUAUUGUUUUUAAAUAGUCAGCUCUGAUUUAGUUGCCACAUAGUUACCAAUUACUUUGUUCAACAGUUUUUCUUACAUUUCUCUCUUCCAAAUUUUUUUUUCUGAAAUAAAUCCUGUAGUAUUUCUUUCAGUGAAAAUCUUUAUAUAGUGGUAUUCUUUUAGUCUCUUAAGGAAAAAAAUAAACCCUCUUCUCUCCCUCAUCAUUGUACUGACAUUUAGCUGGAAAGGGAAUUCCAGAUGGACCUUUAUUAUCUCUCAACAGAAAAAUCCAAUUAUAUCCCUUUAUAGAGAGAUUACGGUGUGCCACAGCCAGUUAGUUAGCGGAAGAACUGAGCUCAAGCCCAUGCCCAUGUAGAACUACAACUUAGCUCUUAGCCAAAUCCUUUGUAUUUGGAUUCACCAAAUAAUACAUAAUUUGAAUAAUAACAAACUGUAUCUAUGUCAUGAUAACACAUAGGCAACAUUUAAAAUAAAAUAUCCAAUCCAGCUCAGUAAGUGUUUUUAGGAACUUCUCAUAUGCUAAGCAGUGUGGGGGCACCAAAGUAUCGGUUCUUUGGUAGAGAGAAGUGCAGUCCCGUUAGAGAAGUAGGAAGUGUCCAGUAGCUUUUAUUGCAUUGUGCUUUAGCAUCCUGGCCAGUGUUCUGGGCUUCCCGGUACUUGCAAGUAGAAAACACAUAAGAUCCUCUUUUUUUUCCCCGUUGGAAAGUAUUAUAUUUAGUGAAGUGAAGAUGUCAGUAUUCAUAAUAGAGAAGAGGUUGCAUAAGCCAAGACUGCCUUCAUGUUGAUAAAAAAAAAAAAAAAAAA